rnacentral:rRNA from 1 species
UACAGAGGUCUCAAGCGUUGUUCGGAUUCAUUGGGCGUAAAGGGUGCGUAGGCGGCGCGGUAAGUCGGGUGUGAAAUCUUGGAGCUUAACUCCGAAACUGCAUUCGAUACUGCCGUGCUUGAGGACUGGAGAGGAGACUGGAAUUUACGGUGUAGCGGUGAAAUGCGUAGAUAUCGUAAGGAAGACCAGUGGCGAAGGCGGGUCUCUGGACCAUUGCUGACGCUGAGACACGAAAGCGUGGGUAGCAAACAGG